rnacentral:rRNA from 1 species
CACUCCUACGGGAGGCAGCAGUGAGGAAUAUUGGACAAUGGGUGGAAGCCUGAUCCAGCCAUCCCGCGUGCAGGAAGACGGCCCUAUGGGUUGUAAACUGCUUUUAUCUGGGGAUAAACCUACUUACGUGUAAGUAGCUGAAGGUACCAGAAGAAUAAGCACCGGCUAACUCCGUGCCAGCAGCCGCGGUAAUACGGAGGGUGCAAGCGUUAUCCGGAUUUAUUGGGUUUAAAGGGUCCGUAGGCGGACUGAUAAGUCAGUGGUGAAAUCCGACAGCUUAACUGUCGAACUGCCAUUGAUACUGUUAGUCUUGAGUAAGGUUGAAGUGGCUGGAAUAAGUAGUGUAGCGGUGAAAUGCAUAGAUAUUACUUAGAACACCAAUUGCGAAGGCAGGUCACUAAGUCUUAACUGACGCUGAUGGACGAAAGCGUGGGGAGCGAACAGGAUUAGAAACCCGUGUAGUCCCAUGA